rnacentral:sRNA from 1 species
GAUGCUAUGAUAAAAUGAACAGGUAGAGUAUGUAGAAAAGUUAUGACGGUGGCGACUUCUGAAUGGGGGUGGUGCUUAUGAAAAUAGGUACUAAAUCUAGGAAAGGAGCAAGCCUUUUGUCUGCAUUAGAAACAAUCCAGUUGAUGAUAAGUUUUGGUUUAUUUACCAUUGCUUUGAUUAAAU